GAUGAACGCUGGCGGCGUGCCUAAUACAUGCAAGUCGAGCGAACAGACGAGGAGCUUGCUCCUCUGACGUUAGCGGCGGACGGGUGAGUAACACGUGGAUAACCUACCUAUAAGACUGGGAUAACUUCGGGAAACCGGAGCUAAUACCGGAUAACAUGUUGAACCGCAUGGUUCAACAGUGAAAGACGGUCUUGCUGUCACUUAUAGAUGGAUCCGCGCCGCAUUAGCUAGUUGGUAAGGUAACGGCUUACCAAGGCAACGAUGCGUAGCCGACCUGAGAGGGUGAUCGGCCACACUGGAACUGAGACACGGUCCAGACUCCUACGGGAGGCAGCAGUAGGGAAUCUUCCGCAAUGGGCGAAAGCCUGACGGAGCAACGCCGCGUGAGUGAAGAAGGUCUUCGGAUCGUAAAACUCUGUUAUUAGGGAAGAACAAAUGUGUAAGUAACUAUGCACGUCCUGACGGUACCGAAUCAGAAAGCCACGGCUAACUACGU
rnacentral:rRNA from 1 species